rnacentral:rRNA from 1 species
AUUGAACGCUGGCGGCAGGCCUAACACAUGCAAGUCGGACGGUAGCACAGAGGAGCUUGCUCCUUGGGUGACGAGUGGCGGACGGGUGAGUAAUGUCUGGGGAUCUGCCCGAUAGAGGGGGAUAACCACUGGAAACGGUGGCUAAUACCGCAUAACGUCGCAAGACCAAAGAGGGGGACCUUCAGGCCUCUCACUAACGGACGAGCCCAGAUGGGAUUACCUAGUAGGCGGGGUAAUGGCCCACCUAGGCGACAAUCCCUGGCUGGUCUGAAAGGAUAACCAUCCACACUGAAACUGAGACACGGUCCAGACUCCUACGGAAGGCAGCAGGGGGGAAUAUUGCACAAUGGGCACAAGCCUGAUGCAGCCAUGCCGCGUGUAUGAAGAAGGCCAUCGGGUUGUAAAGUACUUUCAGCGGGGAGGAAGGCGAUGCAGUUAAUAACCGCGUCGAUUGGCGUUACCCGCAGAAGAAGCACCGGCUAACUCCGUGCCAGCCGCCGCAGUAA